CUCGGGGGAUGUUCUGUGACGCCAUGACUGGCCUCGGGGGAUGUGCUGUGACGCCAUGACUGGUCUCGGGGGAUGUGCUGUGACGCCAUGACUGGCUUAGCAGAACUUGGGGUCGGGAAGAGGUGGACAUUUGGGUCAUAUUAGGGAGUGUUUUGAGCCAUAUGGAGAUCACAUUGGUGUGGUCUAGACCAGGAAGGCCAGGAGCACUUUCUCAAGGAGUCGGGCAAAUGGGACCCCCAGCUAAACCCAGGAGCCAUGGACUGGACCCCAAGAUGAGCCGAGGCUGUAAUAUCAUCACCAAGGAAGAAACUCAUUGAACCUGCUGUUCUCUGCCCAACUCGUGGGGGGCUGGCCUGGUUGGGGGGAGCCUUUCUUUGUGGAGGUGCCUAAAGAGCACUGUGUUUAACUCUUCCGUCCUGUCUCAGAUGUCAGCUUGAUGGACACGCGUUCACAGCAGCGUUGGUCACUGUAGCCGAAAGGUGGAAGCGACCCAAGACGGACGAAUGGAUAGACAGGAUGCGGUAUCUCCGUGCAAUGGGAUACUAUCCACCCUUCCAAAGAAAGGAAAUUCUACAACAGGGUGAACCUUGAGGACAUUACACUAAGUGAUAUAAGCCACCUGCAAAAGGACGAACACUGUGUGCUUCCACUUAUAUGAGAAAUUUGCCCCAGAGAAGGGCUCGUGGAUGUUCAGAAAGAGCAAAAGUCUGAAACAUCAACACAAUGGAAAUAAGCUAGAAAUUUCCAUGAAGAGAAUAGAGCCGUCACUCAAGACGACAGGGAGAGCAGAGCCUGAGCUGAGUGGAGCCUCAACUUCCCCGGCUGCCCACACCCAGAGGCUGGAGCAGAUGCUGGCUGCUGGCCGGCUGUGUUCUGUUGGGUUUCCUGCGACUGAUGCAGCAUUUAGGAUUUCUGUCCUGGACUCUGAUUAACAGGAGAUUGGAGAGGAGAGAGAUCUCAAAGGUCAUUGGUUUCAUCUUCCUCACUUCAUGACAGAGGAAACAAUACUCAAAGAGGUG